AGAGAGAGAGAGAACAGAACUAUACGGCAUUAAGCGCUAAUUAGUCGUUCCAAUUCUAAGUUAUAACAAUGAUUACAGGCAUGAUUCCAGACUCAGAAAGAGAGUUGUUGUCGCCACGUCGUCCGGCGGAGGAAGUUGGGAGGCCGUCGUCAGUUUGGGAUGCAAGCGACUGUUGCUUCAUCUGCAUCGGAGCUUCUGGUUGGUUCAUGUCCUGCUGCGGCCUUUUGCCUUUCCUGUAACUAAUUAAAACUGCUAUCAUUCUGCUACUAUAUACACAUAAUCCUUCUCGCAUGCGCACGUUCACCUUUUGUAAAGCUCAAAUUCAACUUUUUAUAUUUCUGUAUGAUCC
rnacentral:lncRNA from 1 species